rnacentral:rRNA from 1 species
AGGACGAACGCUGGCGGCGUGCUUAACACAUGCAAGUCGAGCGGAAAGGCCCUUCGGGGUACUCGAGCGGCGAACGGGUGAGUAACACGUGAGCAACCUGCCCUUAGCUCCGGGAUAGCUCCGGGAAACCGGAAUUAAUACCGGAUAUGACCACUUCGGACAUCUGUUGUGGUGGAAAGUUUUUCGGCUGGAGAUGAGCUCGCGGCCUAUCAGCUUGUUGGUGGGGUAAAGGCCUACCAAGGCGACGACGGGUAGCCGGCCUGAGAGGGCGACCGGCCACACUGGGACUGAGACACGGCCCAGACUCCUACGGGAGGCAGCAGUGGGGAAUAUUGCGCAAUGGGCGGAAGCCUGACGCAGCGACGCCGCGUGGGGGAUGAAGGCCUUCGGGUUGUAAACCCUUUCAGCAGGGACGAAGCGCAAGUGACGGUACCUGCAGAAGAAGCGCCGGCUAACUACGUGCCAGCAGCCGC